UACGUAGGGUGCGAGCGUUAAUCGGAAUUACUGGGCGUAAGGCGUGCGCAGGCGGUUUUGUAAGUCAGAUGUGAAAAUCCCCGGGCGUUAACCUGGGAACGUGCAUUCAGGACUGGGAAACUCGAGUCUGGGAGAGGGUGGUGGAAUUUCCGGUGUAGCGGUGAAAUGCGUAGAUAUCGGAAGGAACAUCAGUGGCGAAGGCGACCGCCUGGCCUAAGACUGACACUGAGGCACGAAAGCGUGGGGAGCAAACA
rnacentral:rRNA from 1 species